UGGGGAAUAUUGCACAAUGGGCGCAAGCCUGAUGCAGCCAUGCCGCGUGUGUGAAGAAGGCCUUCGGGUUGUAAAGCACUUUCAGCGAGGAGGAAGGUGGUGAGCUUAAUACGCUCAUCAAUUGACGUUACUCGCAGAAGAAGCACCGGCUAACUCCGUGCCAGCAGCCGCGGUAAUACGGAGGGUGCAAGCGUUAAUCGGAAUUACUGGGCGUAAAGCGCACGCAGGCGGUUUGUUAAGUCAGAUGUGAAAUCCCCGGGCUCAACCUGGGAACUGCAUUUGAAACUGGCAAGCUAGAGUCUCGUAGAGGGGGGUAGAAUUCCAGGUGUAGCGGUGAAAUGCGUAGAGAUCUGGAGGAAUACCGGUGGCGAAGGCGGCCCCCUGGACGAAGACUGACGCUCAGGUGCGAAAAGCGUGGGGAGCAAAACAGGAUUAGAUACCCUGGUAGUCCACGCUGUAAAACGAUGUCGAUUUUGGAGGUUGUGCCCUUGAGGCGUGGCUUCCGGAGCUAACGCGUUAAAUCGACCGCCUGGGGAGUACGGUCGCAAGAUUAAAAACUCAAAGGAAUUGACGGGGGUCAUAGCUGUUUUCCU
rnacentral:rRNA from 1 species